rnacentral:rRNA from 1 species
UACGGGGGGGGCAAGCGUUGUUCGGAAUUACUGGGCGUAAAGGGCUCGUAGGCGGCCAACUAAGUCAGACGUGAAAUCCCUCGGCUUAACCGGGGAACUGCGUCUGAUACUGGAUGGCUUGAGGUUGGGAGAGGGAUGCGGAAUUCCAGGUGUAGCGGUGAAAUGCGUAGAUAUCGGGAGGAACACCAAUGGCGAAGGCAGCUCGCUGGGACGGUACUGACGCUGAGGCGCGAAAGCGUGGGGAGCAAACAGG